GGAACGGUAGCUCAGCUGGGAGAGCACCAGGGUCACAACCUGGUUGUCAUGGGUUCGAGCCCCAUCCGUUCCA
rnacentral:tRNA from 1 species